rnacentral:lncRNA from 11 species
GAAGCAAAGAACCCUUACACUGUGGUAUUUGUUUUUGUUAUCACUUUCCUUUUCCUAGGCAUGGCUGAGUCUAACAUUACCCUUUUGUUCUUACAUCUGUUUCUCUUAGUAGCCAGGUAACACUACCCCAAGAAUGUAUUUAGUGGUUUGGUCUUAUAAAACAAGGCAGCUUGGAAAAGUCAGUUCCUCUUCCUGUAUUAGCAGCAAGAUAGUUUGAACAGAGAUGAACACUCAGUCAGAUUAAUUCCUACCUAUGAGUUAAUAUAAUCUUGAAGUAAUUCAUUGGAAAAAGAUGACCAGAACUUACCCUCAGAAUUUUGAUGGAAGCUUCCUUGGUUCAGAAAAAUCUCUCUCCGUGACUAAAAGAGGUAAUUGGGAGAAAUCUACAUCCUUUUUCAUCCUCUAAAGGAGUCUAUUUCAUUUCUCUCUGCCCAUCUGCUAUGUUUUACUGCACACACAUUUUCUAGUUAAAUACAGGCACUUUCACAGUUCCCAGCCCAAGUGAAAUAUAAAUAUUUAC